CCCCCGCGCCGCCGGUGCCCGCGAGGACGCUCGGCUCAUUUAACGCGUCGUUUCUCUUUCUGCUUCAACCCCGGCGCCUUUUGCAGCGAACGCUCAGCCCUGGCGCGCGCGCGCUCGUGGGUUCACGUGUUCGUGCCCGAGUUGGGCUUUGCUGGGAGGGAAGUUGCGCGACGGUCGGACUGCCGGGUUUCGUCUUUGUCAUGGCUGCGUGCGAGCAGAUUCUUGAAGAACAACUUAGGAGCUGGACUGGAGAGGACCUGUUUUGAAGUUGCCAUCCUUACAGUAUUUUCCCUGCAGACUCGCUCAGAUCACUUCCCAGGGGGAAACGCAGCCCUCUGCAAUCUGAUUGCAAUGUAUGUGGCACACUGGACUAGCAGCAAAUCACAACUCCGUAGCUGGAUUUGAUCAGGGUACAUCACACUGACUCACAGGAGGUUUGUGAUGGGCACAAAACAUUACAGCUGACAAUGAAACUCCAAAACUUUUUUUAAGAGAAGAGGGAGGAGCCAGCACUUGAUCAAGAGACAAAACACAGCAGGUGGGGCCAAGUGUUGCUGGGCCCUGGUCUGCCUCAGCCCCCACACAGAUCCACCGCCUGCCCUGCUGGGCCUUUGUUCCUCAGCUGUAAUUUGUAAUUGCUUGAUGAUGUGCAGGUUCUGUGUAUGAGAACGGGGUUCCCGGAGAAGUAAUCAUUAUUGAUGUAACGUUGCCCUCAGUAAAAGUUCUGAGAGUCUGAGGAUAACAGGACAGAUGAAGGCACUCUUAAAAUUAAGGUCAAAUUGACACUUUCUGUACCGAAAAGUUUGCCUGUGUUGCCAUUUACACUGGCUGCUCUCAUAAAAACCUUUCUGCCUUAACGUCUUUAGACCAUCAGCGCUACAACAGUGCUACCUUUAAAGAACAUCAGUGCCACAGAAAUAAUUAAACAUGAAAACAGCAAGCACAAUACUAGUUGACAAUGUAGCCUAGGGCUUUUAGGAAUUGAAUUUAACACCUACAUUAUUGUAAAAAGACCUAAAGCUAGUAUGGAGAGGCUCCCUAAAGCGCCCCCCAUUAGCCUAACUUGAGCACUAAAGUGGGAAAUUGAACCAGAGAUAACAAAGCAGCUGGUCCUGAACGGCAGGAUUGCUCCCAACAAGUUUGUAAAGAGCAAUCUGUGCAGCUCCUCAAACACAGCACCUUCCGCCCAGCAGCUUGCUUUGGCACGCGAGGAAAGAGUUGGGCCAAUUGUGCUUUAAUUCCCAUUGCAGCUGUAGGAGGGAAAGAUGAAAGCACAAAGUUUUUCAAUCUCAGGAGCUGGCUGUUGAGCAAAGGCUUGGGUCUGUUGCCAAGUGUGCAAACCAGGCUUUUCAGAUCAGAUCUGUUUAUUGUCACUCUGUUGCAUGCUGUGUGUGCACAGAACAGUGAGCAGACACUGAUAUCACACCUUUUGUGAAAGGAGGUUUCAGAUACAAAGCAAAUCCCAUUUUCCUGAGAGGGUUAAGGAAGGACAUCCAGGCUUUUUUGCCUUGACCCGUAUGUCUCUAGGCUUCUCCAGCAAAUUCUCCUGUCACAUGCUCCCUUAUCUUGCAGGUCACAGACUUUGUCAGCCCACAGUGACAAUAAACUGACUUCCUGCAGCCAGGAAAGUUAGGGAAAACCAGACAGCUUUUGCUACCAGCCCCAAAGCAGUGAUUUUAGAGGGCUCCUUUACCAUUUCUGAGCCAAUGAGGAAGUAGCACUUGGGAGACCCUCAGGAGCAGCAUUGCUGCCCACUCCCACCAGCAGCUUGGGUGAAGAUGUACUGCCACUGAGGAGCAUCCUCCAAGGUCACACUGCUUUACCACAGACAUGGCAUCAUGAAACACUCUGGGAAAAUGGGAAGUACACCUCAAUGCAGCUGGGGUUUCUGCUGUUGCAAGUCUACCAACUUAAGCUAUGGGCUUUGCCUCCUGUAUUGAUUUACAGCUACUGCCUGGCAGAAUUCAAUAUUAAGAUCAAGCUAGAAAUUACUUUGACCUCUGCAAUCCUACAAAAACAAGAUCUACUUAGGUAUCUAAACUCAUCUUCUCAUUUCUCUCCCCCUCUUCAGCGCUUACUUUGUUACGUAAGAGAGAAGUUCCCUUUCUCUGUCAAGGUUGGGCUGCUGUGAGUGCUGAUGCAGCGCGCCCUGUAUCCCUGCAGCUCUGCAUGGGACAGGCAGGGGACAACGGGCAGCCUAUUUCCAUCCCACAGUGACAGGCAAGUGGCACACAGCUACUUUAACAAAGUCUAUUUUCACCUCCCAGGCACAUAAAGUGGGGCUGGAGACAGAAGGAUAAGUAUGUCACAACACCAUCAAGAGGGAUUUGUUUCACUCAUAGAUGCUACCUAUAUGCAGCAGUGUCCGGUAGCCCACAGAAGCAGUGAACAGGAUUGAGAUCAUGGAAUUUAGAAGUAAUCCUGUCAUGCUGGAAGGUUAAAGGCAGUUUUAAAAUGGAUUAUUUUUGUUGCUUCCAUUGAAGGUUGAUCAAUAGCAAAUUCACCUAUUAAUCCCACUUGGUUCUGUUUUGCCUCCAACACAGACAGUACAAACAGUUUAUUGAGUUUGAUGUCUGCUUCUUGUUAGGAACUUCAAGGCACACAUUCAUACUACAGAUUUCUACAGAACUACUCACGUCAAAUUAGGUUUGAAGGCUGAAAGCAGGCUGUCAUUCCAACUUUCCUGGGUGAUUCUCAUGCCUCUGAAAAGCUGAGCAUCUUUCAGAGAAGCAGAGCAUGUCUGUGGAAUUCACUGACACAAGAAUAGACCCCAUUUGUAAGCACCAUGAGUGUGUGGUUACCUUUGUGCUCUGCCCCGGCUGGAAGGAAACUCAGAAGGGCUUCUUGUUUCUGCCCCAGAGAUGUGCUCAGAGAUGAGCUCUGAAGCUGGUUCCUCACAUCUUUCCUUGCAAGUCAGCACGAGCACAAAGGAGCUCAGACCAGCCCUGCACCGCUUUCCAAAGUCAGCCUCACUGCUCUGUCAGAAACAUCAGCACUGAAACAAGACCGAGCUCUGUCCCUCCCUUAGAGGGAUGCUCAGGGCCAUGCAGCACUCAGCUCCACCGCAGCUGCUGCACAUUGAUUUCCUGCCUGCUGAGGCAGGUUUCAGAAAUUCAGGGCCAUGUUGCAUGUUACUCUGCAUAGCUCCCAGCAGUUGGCACAGGGCCUGAAGUACUGCA